GGCCGGUUAGCGCAGUCUGGUAGCGCACAGCACUUUUAAUGCUGGGGUCGUGGGUUCAAAUCCCAUACCGGUCA
rnacentral:tRNA from 1 species